GGGCAUGUAGUUCAGAGGAUAGAGCACCAGAUUCCGGUUCUGGGUGUCGGGGGUUCGACUCCCUCCAUGCUCG
rnacentral:tRNA from 1 species